GGCCCCGUCGUCUAACGGUUAGGACGCUACCCUUUCACGGUGGAAAAAGGGGUUCGAUUCCCCUCGGGGCUA
rnacentral:tRNA from 2 species